UACGGGGGGGGCAAGCGUUGUUCGGAAUUACUGGGCGUAAAGGGCUCGUAGGUGGCCAACUAAGUCAGACGUGAAAUCCCUCAGCUUAACUGGGGAACUGCGUCUGAUACUGGAUGGCUUGAGUUUGGGAGAGGGACGCGGAAUUCCAGGUGUAGCGGUGAAAUGCGUAGAUAUCUGGAGGAACACCGGUGGCGAAGGCGGCGUCCUGGACCAACACUGACACUGAUGAGCGAAAGCUAGGGGAGCAAACAGG
rnacentral:rRNA from 1 species